AUUCAUCUGACGAGUCGUAAACAAGACAAGACACGCGUCCUGUAU
rnacentral:hammerhead_ribozyme from 1 species